AGCAGCCGCGGUAAUUCCAGCUCCAAUAGCGUAUAUUAAAGUUGUUGCAGUUAAAAAGCUCGUAGUUGAAUUUCGGGGUUAGCAAGUUGGUCGUGCCACUGGUAUGUACUGGCUUUGCUGAUUCCUCCUUCUUGUAGAACCGUAAUGCCAUUUAGUUGGUGUUGCGGGGAAACAGGACUGUUACUUUGAAAAAAUUAGAGUGUUUAAAGCAGGCUAACGCCUGAAUACAUUAGCAUGGAAUAAUGAAAUAGGACGAGCGAUCCUAUUUUGUUGGUUUCUAGGAUUGACGUAAUGAUUAAUAGGGAUAGUUGGGGGCAUUAGUAUUCAAUUGUCAGAGGUGAAAUUCUUGGAUUUAUUGAAGACUGACUACUGCGAAAGCAUUUGCCAAGGAUGUUUUCAUUAAUCAAGAACGAAAGUUAGGGGAUCGAAGACGAUCAGAUACCGUCGUAGUCUUAACCAUAAACUAUGCCGA
rnacentral:rRNA from 1 species